UUGUAGGCGUCCAGCGAACACUCUUUUUCUUUUUAGAUUUUAUUUAUUUAUUCACGAGAGACACACAGACAGAGGCAGAGAGACACGGGCAGAGGGAGAAGCAGGCUCCAGGCGGGGAGCCCGAUGCGGGACUCGAUCCCGGGACCCCGGGGUCCCGCCCUGAGCCGCAGGCAGACGCUCCGCGGCUGAGCACCAGGCGUCCCAAGCAAACACUUUCUGAACAAACACAACAUCGUAGCACGUUGUUGGAAAAAAGGAAGGCGAUGCAACAGGCCUGCGCUACCUGCACCCGGGCUAUCUGCAGAUUUUGGUACCAAGGCGGCGUCCUAGCGGCCCCUGCCGCCCCGCACCCCCGCCCCGCGGCAGCUCCGGGGGUCUCCCCGGGCGGGGGCGGCCCCCGCGGACCGCGCGCUCGCUCGCUCGCUCCCGCCCCCCCGGCAGGCGGCGCCGUGCAGCAGGCCUCCCGCCGGGGUCGCGACGGGGCGUGCGCGUCCACGGCCGCCGGGCUCGGGCGCCCGCACUUCCUGGUCCGAGCCGGCCCGGCCGCCGCGGGGUCGCCGCGGGGUCCCCGGGGCCGCGCCCGCCGCUGCCGCUCCUCCUCCGGGGAGCGCUCGGGGCGGAGCCGGCGGGCGCGCGGGGCUCCCCCUCCCGGCGGCCACCUGGGGCCGCGCGCAGCAGGUGUCGGGGCGGCCGCCCGGGGCGCCGGGGACGCGGAGCGCGAGCCGGGAGCCGCGACGCGCGGGAGCUUAUUCACAUGGCAUUUUGGAACGCCAGGUAUCAAAAGUAAGAUCAUUGAAGGCAGUAAAACGGAGAUCAUCAGCCAAGAAAGACCUGCUGGAGAAAGCAGAGGAUGGAAAACAAAGUGAAAUGGUGUUUUAGCCUAUGUAUUUCAGCAGACCU
rnacentral:lncRNA from 1 species